rnacentral:rRNA from 1 species
CCUAGGGGUGGCAGCAGUGGGGAAUAUUGGACAAUGGGCGAAAGCCUGAUCCAGCCAUGCCGCGUGUGUGAAGAAGGCCUUCGGGUUGUAAAGCACUUUCAGUGGGGAAGAAAGCCUUGGGGCUAAUACCCUCGAGGAAGGACAUCACCCACAGAAGAAGCACCGGCUAACUCCGUGCCAGCAGCCGCGGUAAUACGGAGGGUGCGAGCGUUAAUCGGAAUUACUGGGCGUAAAGCGCGCGUAGGCGGUCUGAUAAGCCGGUUGUGAAAGCCCCGGGCUCAACCUGGGAACGGCAUCCGGAACUGUCAGGCUAGAGUGCAGGAGAGGAAGGUAGAAUUCCCGGUGUAGCGGUGAAAUGCGUAGAGAUCGGGAGGAAUACCAGUGGCGAAGGCGGCCUUCUGGACUGACACUGACGCUGAGGUGCGAAAGCGUGGGUAGCAAACAGGAUUAGAUACCCUAGUAGUC